CACCGGCGGCUCGAGUGGUGGCCACUUUUAUUGGGUCUAAAGCGUCCGUAGCCGGCUUGGCAAGUCCCCUGGGAAAUCUGGCGGCUUAACCGUCAGGCGUCCAGAGGAUACUGCCAGGCUUGGGACCGGGAGAGGUGAGAGGUACCUCAGGGGUAGGGGUGAAAUCUUGUGAUCCCUGAGGGACCACCAGUGGCGAAGGCGUCUCACUAGGACGGGUCCGACGGUCAGGGACGAAAGCUGGGGGCACGAACCGG
rnacentral:rRNA from 1 species